AGGACGAACGCUGGCGGCGUGCUUAACACAUGCAAGUCGAGCGGAAAGGCCCUUCGGGGUACUCGAGCGGCGAACGGGUGAGUAACACGUGAGUAAUCUGCCCCUAGCUCUGGGAUAGCUCCGGGAAAACCGGGAUUAAUACCGGAUACGACCACUUUAGACAUCUGUUGUGGUGGAAAGAAUUUUGGCUAGGGAUGAGCUCGCGGCCUAUCAGCUUGUUGGUGGGGUAACGGCCUACCAAGGCGACGACGGGUAGCCGGCCUGAGAGGGCGACCGGCCAACGACUGGGACUGAGACACGGCCCAGACUCCUACGAGAGGCAGCAGUGGGAAUAUUGCGCAAUGGGCGAAAGCCUGACGCAGCGACGCCGCGUGGGGGAUGAAGGCCUUCGGUUGUAAACCCUUUCAGCAGGGACGAAGCGAAAGUGACGGUACCUGCAGAAGAAGCGCCGGCUAACUACGUGCCAGCAGCCGC
rnacentral:rRNA from 1 species